rnacentral:rRNA from 1 species
UACAGAGGGUGCGAGCGUUAAUCGGAAUUACUGGGCGUAAAGCGCACGUAGUCGGCUUUGCAAGUCGGUUGUGAAAUCCCCGGGCUCAACCUGGGAACUGCAUCCGAGACUGCAUUGCUAGAGUAUGGGAGAGGAAAGCGGAAUUUCUGGUGUAGCAGUGAAAUGCGUAGAUAUCUACUGGAACGCCGAUGGUGAAGACGCUCGGCUGGGCCUGUCCUGACGCUGAGGCACGAAAGCGUGGGGAGCAAACAGG